rnacentral:pre_miRNA from 1 species
CUUGUACUCCCUCUGUUCCGAAUUACUUGUCGCAGGUAUGGAUGUAUCUAUAGAUACAUCCAUUACUGCGACGAGUAAUUUGGAACGGAGGGAGUAGGUG